rnacentral:rRNA from 1 species
CCUACGGGUGGCAGCAGUGAGGAAUAUUGGUCAAUGGACGCAAGUCUGAACCAGCCAAGUAGCGUGAAGGAUGACUGCCCUAUGGGUUGUAAACUGCUUUUAUAUGGGAAUAAACUGUUCCACGUGUGGCUUUUUGUAUGUACCGUAUGAAUAAGGAUCGGCUAAUUCCGUGCCAGCAGCCGCGGUAAUACGGAGGAUCCGGGCGUUAUCCGGAUUUAUUGGGUUUAAAGGGAGCGUAGGCGGCUUGUUAAGUCAGUUGUGAAAGUUUGCGGCUCAACCGUAAAAUUGCAGCUGAAACUGGAAGUCUUGAGUGCAGCAGAGGUGGGCGGAAUUCGUGGUGUAGCGGUGAAAUGCUUAGAUAUCACGAAGAACUCCGAUUGCGAAGGCAGCCUACCGUAGCGUAACUGACACUGAGGCUCGAAAGUGCGGGUAUCAAACAGGAUUAGAUACCCCGGUAGUC